GAUGCACACACUGGAAAACCAGCGCCUGUACUUCAUGCAGGAGAGAUGACCUCAGUGAUAAUUCAUCAGCAGCUGUGAAGAGAUGUAUUUGAAUAUCUUCUGGUUCCACUUUUCUUAACCUGGAAGCUGAGGAUGGCUAAUUCCUGACAAGGACACACACCUCAGCGCUUAUCAUGGGUGUUACAUCCUCUGCGCAGCAAUUCCAGAGAAAACGAGAGAGCAACGACCACA